rnacentral:rRNA from 1 species
UAGGGAAUCUUUCCACAAUGGGCGAAAGCCUGAUGGAGCAACGCCGCGUGUGUGAUGAAGGGUUUCGGCUCGUAAAACACUGUUGUAAGAGAAGAAUGACAUUGAGAGUAACUGUUCAGUGUGUGACGGUAUCUUACCAGAAAGGAACGGCUAAAUACGUGCCAA